rnacentral:rRNA from 1 species
CGUAGGCAGCAAGCGUUGUUCGGAAUUACUGGGCGUAAAGAGUACGUAGGUGGUUUGCCAAGUCCGAUGUGAAAUCUCCUGGCUUAACUGGGAGGGUGCGUUAGAUACUGGCAGGCUUGAGUGUGGGAGAGGAGAGCGGAAUUCCUGGUGUAGCGGUGAAAUGCGUAGAUAUCAGGAGGAACGCCUGUGGUGUAGACGGCUCUCUGGACCAUUACUGACACUGAGGUACGAAAGCGUGGGUAGCAAACAGGAUUAGAUACCCUGGUAGUCCACGCCCUAAACGAUGCAUACUUGGUGUGGGCAGUUCAGUCUGUCCGUGCCGGAGCUAACGCGUUAAGUAUGCCGCCUGGGGAGUACGGUCGCAAGGCUG